GUGCAGUGGUGCAUUUAUUCUAUUCAUCAACACAUCAUUCUGAAAAGACAGGUGUGCGGAAAGGUAAUGACUGAGUACA